CCAAUAGUCAAUGAGUUAAUCAGUCAUGUCUAUGUAAUAAAGCCUCUAUAAACACCCAGAAGGAUGGAGUUUGGAGAGCUUCCAGGUUCCAUGUACCAUGGAGGUACAGGGAGAGUGGUGGGCCAGGAGAGGGCCUGGAAGCUCUCCACCCCUUUCUUCAUACCUCACUCUUAUGCAUUUCUUCCAUCUGGCGGUUCUGAGUUAUAUCCUCCUAUAAUAAACUGGUAAACUUAAAGCCUCCCCUCCCUCACUGCAUUUUUUUGAUGUGGUCAUUGGUCAAGGGGCUAUACUUCUACAAGGAUGAGCACAGGACCCAUAGUGGCCAAUAGAAUUCCACUUUCUCAGGAAUAUAAUGGACACCAGAGGAGAGAAGGCCCUUCUCAUCAGAUUACCAACUAAUAUGGCAUGAAAUGUUAUCCUUAUCUCAGUGGAUAAGACUUAGAAGGACAACCAAGUAUAAACAUUCAAAGGUGAGUUUUAAAAUUAAAAUAUUAGCUAAUAAAUGCAUAAACUCACUGGCAGUAAGAAUGCAAAUCAAAACAAAAGCAUGUCAUUUUCCACUCUUUAAUUUAGCAGUUAAUUGGAAAAAACAAACAGAUAACAUGUAGUGAUGGCAAAAAAUGCUGGUGAGCAUUCUGGCACUUUGCUGGUGGGAUUGCAAAUUGCU